GAUGAAGAACGUAGCGAAAUGCGAUACGUAAUGUGAAUUGCAGAAUUCAGUGAAUCAUCGAAUCUUUGAACGCACAUUGCGCCCGCCAGUAUUCUGGCGGGCAUGCCUGUUCGAGCGUCAUUUCAACCAUCAAGCCCCCGGCUUGUGUUGGGGACCUGCGGCUGCCGCAGGCCCUGAAAUGCAGUGGCGGGCUCGCUGUCACUCCGAGCGUAGUAGUUACAUCUCGCUCUGGGCGUGCUGCGGGUUCCGGCCGUUAAAAGCCUUAUUUACCCAAGGUUGACCUCGGAUCAGGUAGGAAGACCCGCUGAACUUAAGCAUAUCAAUAAGCGGAGGA
rnacentral:misc_RNA from 1 species